CCUACGGGUGGCUGCAGUAGGGAAUCUUCCACAAUGGGCGAAAGCCUGAUGGAGCAACGCCGCGUGAGUGAUGAAGGUCUUCGGAUCGUAAAACUCUGUUAUUAGGGAAGAACAUGCGUGUGAGUAACUGUUCACGUCUUGACGGUAUCUAAUCAGAAAGCCACGGCUAACUACGUGCCAGCAGCCGCGGUAAUACGUAGGUGGCAAGCGUUCUCCGGAAUUAUUGGGCGUAAAGCGCACGCAGGCGGUCUUUUAAGUCUGAUGUGAAAGCCUUCGGCUUAACCGUAGUGGUUCAUUGGAAACUGGAAGACUUGAGUGCAGAAGAGGAGAGUGGAACUCCAUGUGUAGCGGUGAAAUGCGUAGAUAUAUGGAAGAACACCAGUGGCGAAGGCGGCUCUCUGGUCUGUAACUGACGCUGAGGUUCGAAAGCGUGGGUAGCAAACAGGAUUAGAUACCCCAGUAGUC
rnacentral:rRNA from 1 species